UACGUAGGGUCCGAGCGUUGUCCGGAAUUACUGGGCGUAAAGCGCGCGCAGGCGGUUAGUCGCAUCGGCGGUGAAAGCCCCCCGCUUAACGGGGGAGGGUCCGUCGAGAUGGACUGACUGGAGGCAGGGAGAGGGCGGUGGAAUUCCGGGUGUAGUGGUGAAAUGCGUAGAGAUCCGGAGGAACACCAGUGGCGAAGGCGGCCGCCUGGACCUGACCUGACGCUGAGGCGCGAAGGCGCGGGGAGCGAACGGG
rnacentral:rRNA from 1 species